GGAGAGGUGACCGAGAGGCCGAAGGUGCGCGCCUGCUAAGCGCGUGUGGGGCAACCCACCGAGGGUUCGAAUCCCUCCCUCUCCGCCA
rnacentral:tRNA from 1 species